rnacentral:pre_miRNA from 1 species
GGGGUUCCUGGGGAUGGGAUUUGAUUACUGCCACAAAUCACAUUGCCAGGGAUUUCCAA